UACGUAGGGUCCAAGCGUUAUCCGGAAUUACUGGGCGUAAAGCGUGCGUAGGCGGCUCGUUAAGUGAGAUGUGAAAUCUGGCGGCUCAACCGUCAAACCGCAUCUCAUACUGGCGGGCUAGAGGAUGGCAGAGGCAAGUGGAAUUCGUAGUGUAGCAGUGAAAUGCGUAGAUAUUACGAGGAACACCAAUGGCGAAGGCAGCUUGCUGGGCCACACCUGACGCUCAGGUACGAAAGCGUGGGGAGCGAACAGG
rnacentral:rRNA from 1 species